rnacentral:pre_miRNA from 1 species
AUGAUACUCCCUCCGUCCGGAAAUACUUGUCAUCAAAAUGAAUAAAAGGGGAUGUAUCUAGAUGUAUUUUAGUUCUAGAUACAUCCCUUUUUGUCCAUUUUGAUGAAAAGUAUUUUCGGACGGAGGGAGUACAUG